rnacentral:rRNA from 1 species
AGCAAACAGGAUUAGAUACCUGGUAGUCCACGCUGUAAACGAUGUCGAUUUGGAGUUUGUUGCCUAGAGUGAUGGGCUCCGAAGCUAACGCGAUAAAUCGACCGCCUGGAGAGUACGGCCGCGAGGUUAAAACUCAAAUGAAUUGACGGGGGCCCGCACAAGCGGUGGAGUAUGUGGUUUAAUUCGAUGCAACGCGAAGAACCUUACCUGGUCUUGACAUCCAUAGAAUUCUGCAGAGAUGUGGGAGUGCCUUCGGGAACUAUGAGACAGGUGCUGCAUGGCUGUCGUCAGCUCGUGUUGUGAAAUGUUGGGUUAAGUCCCGCAACGAGCGCAACCCUUAUUCUUUGUUGCCAGCGAUUUGGUCGGGAACUCAAAGGAGACUGCCGUUGAUAAAGCGGAGGAAGGUGGGGACGACGUCAAGUCAUCAUGGCCCUUACGACCAGGGCUACACACGUGCUACAAUGGCGUAUACAAAGGGAAGCGAAGGUGCGAGCUGGAGCGGAUCUCAUAAAGUACGUCUAAGUUCGGAUUGGAGUCUGCAACUCGACUACAUGAAGUCGGAAUCGCUAGUAAUCGUAGAUCAGAAUGCUACGGUGAAUACGUUCCCGGGCCUUGUACACACCGCCCGUCACACCAUGGGAGUGGGUUGCACCAGAAGUAGAUAGCUUAACCGCGAGGGGGGCGUUUACCACGGUGUGAUUCAUGACUGGGGUGAAGUCGUAACAAGGUAACCA